AAUGGGGAGCACGUGUCAAAAAAUUGGGUCGGGUCCGACGUAUCGGUUUAAACCCGUUAUCUUUAUCCGGGUUCAAACUUUUUCCUCGUUAUUUUUAGGAAUUUUUUUCUUCUUUUAAAAAACCCAAAACAAAACCCCCUCUUCCUCAGUCGCUCCAGUCUCUAGGGUUCUAACUCAGCUAUCACCAGCUCAGAACUCAUACUCGUCUUCUCCAAGUUACGGAAAAUAAGAAAUAUGAAGAUAAAAACAAGGGCCGGAGAAGAAGCAUGUUCUUGGCACACCAAAACAUAGAAACAGUGUGGCAUACGAUUAGGUCAACCGAGGUUGGUUUCCAAGACGUUGGGGAAUUUCCCUACAGAAAAUAAGCAGCAAAAAUCCCUUAUAACUCACUUUUGGAACUGCAUUGCUAUUGACGAGACAGGUCUUUCGAAUGCAAAUGUCUUGAUGCCAAGCCGUGCAGCUGUGUGGGUCCCACAGUAGACUGGUCCUAGAACAAGAGUGAAAACUCAAUAUGUACAUGAUCAUGCCAAGCAAAAAGCCAGAAAAUCUAGGUAAGGAUUUGCUUACGGUAUCUUGCAAACCAUCCGGAAUGUCAAAACAACUCGGAAUAGAUUGGGGUCUGAAAUGCAACUGCCCCUACAAGCAAGCAACACGAUAUGAUUUACUAUACCAAGACAUAUAAACAGCAAUAGCACUAACAGGAACAGAUUAUAUCAACCCUCAAACUCAAAGGAACCCUUGGAGUAUGUCUAGACUAUAAGACAAAAUUACCCCAAGAGAAUGGACUCUCCUUUCUUUAAUGAUAAAAACAAAUAAUAAUUCCACAAAGUCAGAUUGAAAAACAACAGAAUUUUGUACCACCCCGUGCAGUCUUUGCUGAGUUAUAUAAUGAGCAUCAUGGAUGGGAGCUAUCGAGUUUAGUUGCCCCUGUGGCAAAAACAAAGGCUCCAGUUAAGAAGUUGUACUACACAUUUGAUAAAUAAUUAGAAAGUUAUAAUCAACACUAAAUGAAAAUAUACAAAAAAAAUUAGCCGAAUAUGAAAUAUGCACUACCAGCCCUUGCAUAUGCUGAUUGCUAUAAUAAUGAUCACGGCUUGAGGCUAUGGUGCUUGGCUGCCCCUACAAGAAGAUUUAAGGGACACAGGUCAAAUCAACUUUAAUAAGCAUACGAUAAAUUUCGUCCAAGUCCUUCAACAGAAUUCCAAAAUUGUAUUUUUGUAAUGAGAAAAAUCUCUUACAGUUCCUUGAACAAUUUGUU